AGUUUAUUUAACAAACAGCCAGAGUGAAAUCUUCAGCUAAUUUCCACAACUGCAUGUAACACCAGAGGGAGAAAAGCACAAGAGGGAGGACUGAACUACCUUGCUUUGGGUUAGCACAAGGAUGCAGUGUGUGCAUACUCUGAGAGAUAAGAGCACAAAAGGAACUCUUCUGCCUGAUGAAUUCCAUCUCUCUUCUGUUUUCACUGAUGCCAACAUGAAGAGACCAAGGAAGUGAAGCCAAAUCUGCUUUAAAAUGACUUACUAACCACCACUGAAGCCUUUUACAGGCAUUGUAAUAAAUAAUUAGCAGGCUUGCUUCUCUCUCAUUCAGUUGGGGUUUAAAAUAAACCAAAUAAUUAAUCUCUUUAGGUAAUUGGAAUGAGCUUUCCCACGGCUCCCCAUACAAAGAGUCCUACACUAACUGAUCUCUGUAUUUUACAAACUGAUACCUGAUAUUUACUCCUGGCAGCCAGUUAUGGCCCUCUUUGUGUUCAGCUGCUCAAAACAGGCACUGCUGUUUCCUCCAUACUGUGCAACAGGAUUGAACUGGUGUAGCUGUAAAGGGAGGCUUUGAGAGAGGCAGCCUUUGGACUUGAGGUUGCUGCCUUUAACAGUAGGAAUGUUGAGUGCAAAUGUUCUGCCUAACAGCAACAACCACUGGGGAUGAGGAUUACCUUGCUGUGGCAGGCUUCAAAGAUGUGACUCUUAAUGAUGCUGCAGUGCUUCUGUCCCAGGGCAGACUUGAAGGGCUGGUUGGCACACAGGUCUGUCAUGUUGAUGUUGGAGCAGGUGCUGGUGAUUUUCCAGCUGUUUCCAAACUCCUGGAUGCUCAUCUCCAUGGACUGCCCUCUGGUUGUGAAGUCGUUCCUCGAGCGGCCAUCGAAGUCCCCACAAAGGCCACAGACUUUCCCCUGGGGGUGGAUACAGUAAAUGGCUUGGUCAGUUUGAGUGCAGCCCAUUCUUUGACAAGAAGAAACCACAGAGCAGGCUGUGCACAUUCUAAACAGCCAUCAAAAUAUGGCUCAGAGAAAGCUGGGCUUCAAGUGAUAAGAUCACUCCAUUAUCAUAGAAUCAUAGAAUGGCUUGAGCUGGAAGGGACCCUGAAGAUCACUGUUGUGGUAUGCCUGACUAGGCCAAAAUAGGCCUGAAGAUAUCCCUCUCUCUGCUAUGGGGAGAAGCAACUGGGAGAAAGAGGACAAAGAACCUGAAGCCACUGUGUCUGGCUUUGCCUUCAGCUCCAAAUAUCCUGGAGCAUCCUGUGCUGACUGAACAAUGAAAUAAAACACAGGACACGA